rnacentral:sRNA from 1 species
AAAACAAAAAGAAAAAUUAUAACAAUCAGAAAAAUAAACACGCAAUAUAUAUGUACAUUUACCAAUACCAAACAAAAAAUAUAUAAUACACUUACAAAUUAGAGUCCAAAAGAAGAUGAGCGGUUCAACUGUGGAUCAAGUGCGGUGCGGUUCAAAUAGUAACGAAAAUAUAUACAUAUACAUA